CCUACGGGAGGCAGCAGUGAGGAAUAUUGGUCAAUGGGCGCGAGCCUGAACCAGCAACGUCGCGUGAGGGAUGACGGUCCUAUGGAUUGUAAACCUCUUUUGUCGGGGGGAAAAAGACGCCACGCGUGGCGUUCCGAGAGUACACGAAGAAAAAGGAUCGGCUAACUCCGUGCCAGCAGCCGCGGUAAUACGGAGGAUGCGAGCGUUAUCCGGAUUUAUUGGGUUUAAGGGGUGCGCAGACGGAAGAUCAAGUCAGAGGUAAAAUUGGGGGGAACAACCUCAUAGAGCCGUUGAAACUGGUUUUCUUGAGUGAGUGAGAAGUAUGCGGAAUGCGUGGUGUAGCGGUGAAAUGCAUAGAUAUCACGCAGAACUCCGAUUGCGAAGGCAGCAUACCGGCGCUCAACUGACGCUCAUGCACGAAAGUGUGGGUAUCGAACAGGAUUAGAUACCCCAGUAGUC
rnacentral:rRNA from 1 species